AAUGGCAAAUUCCAAAUGCGGCCUUAUGUAAGUGAUGUACACCUUUGAAAUAAAACUGACUGAAGGAUUUGGAAAAACAUGCUUUAGCAAAUAAAACAUUUUACGCGCUCGACCCACUGAUGCUAGACAUUGCUCUGACCAUCCUAACUUAUCAUUUACAAUGACCCCUAGAUCUUUGGUUGAGGUUUUUACACUCAGGAGUGUGCCAUUUAUAUGGUAAAGGUACUUUGGGUUGUUGUGGCCACACUGAAGUACACAGCAUUUUGCAAUAUUUAGUGGUAUUUGCCACUUCUCGCUCCAUUGGAAGAUUAAAUUAAGUUGGUCUUGCAAGUCCGUGACAAGUGGGUUAGCAAAUAACUUAAUAUCAUCCGCAUAUGCUGAAUAGCUGUCCAGUGAAAACAAUAAAUCUGCUGUAUAUAACAAGAAUAAAAUUGGUCCAAGAACUGAUCCCUGUGGGACCCCACUUAAUACUGGUUUAGAGUACGAAAAUUUACCACAGACUUUUACACAAUAGUUUCGAUUUGAUAGAAACGCUCGGAUCCAAUCAAGCAAAUUUCCUGUUACACCAUAGGACUCCAGUUUUGCUAACAAGAGAUUGUGAGGGACUUUAUCAAAGGCUUUACUAAAAUCAAGGUAAAUUAUGUCUACAGGUUGGUUAGUGUCUAACAUUUUUGUCCAUAGAUUUGUGCAGGAUAGCAAAUUUGUGACAACUGACCUACCUGGUAAAAAGCCGUGCUGAUGCUCAGCAUGUCGACGUGAGACUUACAGGUCUAUAGUUAGCAGGAUCAAGUUUAUCUCCUGACUUGUACAAAGGCGUGAUUGUUGCUUGCAACCACUCGUAGGGCAAAGUGCCUUGUAAGAAUGAUUUUGUCAUCAUUUUGGCAAGUGGGCCCGACAACGAAGCAGCACAAGUUCUCAGGAGUUUGGGAGGUAUCUGAUCCGGACCUGGAGCUGUAUUUAAUUUAAUGGCACAGAGUUGGCUUUUUACCAGAUCCGGAGUAAAAUUAAUAUAAGACAACCCACUAAAUGUAGCAGCAAAACUGUCCGCUAAAGUGUUUGCAGUUUCUGUAUGAUCGGAGCAGAGUAGACCUGAAGCAUUUCGUACUAAAGGGACCGACACACGACUAGAGAUAAAUUUACGUACAUGGGAAUAAAAUAGUUUUGGUUUAUUUAAUAUAGAAUUUUCAUAAUUACACCUGGCUAUUUGUAAAUCAGAUUUUAGUUGGUUAGAAAAUCUUUUAUAAGCAGAAAAAUUAUCUUCAGUAGGCUUCCUUUUAAAUUUUUUCCAUAAUUUAGCUUUGUAUUUUAUUUUGUCAAGCAUGUGUUGAUUUAUCCACGGUUUAUCUUUUCUCAGUCGGUUUGUAAACAGUCUGGAAUUUGUUGUAAUGCAAGUUUGUAAAAUCGAUUUAAAAUGUUUCCAUUGUUCUUCCGCAUUUAGUGAAUCUAAACCAUUCCAGUCGUAAGUCAAGAGACUUUCGUCUAUGCGAGUGUAGUCAACAAUUGAUGUUGUUUUAAUUCUUGCAUUUGGCUCUGAAUAUAUCAUAAUUUGUAACUCAAUUUCGAUUUUUGAAUGAUCAGAUGUACCUACAGGAUUCGAAACGUUUAAAGACGAUACAAGGUUAACGUCAGACAAAAUUACCAAAUCAAGUAAUGAAGGACGUUGUUGGGAUCUAAAUCGUGUAGGUUCAGUGACUAUUUGUGACAAAUUAUUCUCCAAGAGCAAUUCAGAAAAUUGUUUUUCGAUGAUUGUUUGACCUGUUGUGUUUUUAGCAGACCAGUCUAUACAUGGAAAAUUGAAAUCUCCCAUGAUAAUUAAGUUAGGAUACUGAUUAAUAGUUGAUUGUAUGGUAUUAAAUAGAUUUUUAUCAUUUUCGUGAUUGUUAAAAGACGCUCCUGUUGGUGGUCUGUAAAUACAUGCUAUAACAAAGG